AGUUCGGAUGUAGGCUGAAACUCGCCUACAUGAAGCUGGAGUUACUAGUAAUCGCAGAUCAGAAUGCUGCGGUGAAUGCGUUCCCGGGUCUUGUACACACCGCCCGUCACACCACGGAAGUUGGGGCGCCCGAAGCCACUUAGCUAACCCUUUUGGGAAGCGAGUGUCGAAGGUGAAAUCAAUAACUGGGGUGAAGUCGUAACAAGGUACC
rnacentral:rRNA from 1 species